rnacentral:lncRNA from 1 species
CCUCUCUACCCCAUGUACUCCACGCUUAGAUAACAAUACAGUGCCUCUCUUUCUUUACCUCUUUCCCCACAAUUUCUUCCUUUUUCUUGAAUCCCAGCCCAUCCUUGAGGCCUGCCACCAAUUGGAAGAUCUUCAGUUCCACCUCUUUCCUGGACAUCUGACUGUAUUGCCCAUCAUUGUCUAUGCUCUGCCCACCGAGAAGAUGCAUCUGGAUCCCUGGUGUCACUUAUUGCUGAACUGUUUGAAUACCAAGUUAUACCGACCUGAAUCUCCCAAGUACCAACAGCAGCCUGGCUCGAAGCCAGAAGGAAUGACUGGAUAUCCCAAGUACCUGAUGGCCACAUAAACAUUUGAAGUAUCAAGCAUUAGAAGAAAGCAAUAGAGGCAAUUUUUAAAAGCACCUUCAGAAGGAAAAUGGAUGUAUGCAACCAAGACAAAGAACAUUUUGAGGCAACACACAUCUGUGGCUACUGAGUGCCUGUUUUGAAUUACAUUUAAAUUGCCUGAAGAGCAUUUGGCAAAUGCAAAGUUUGAAGUUGGUUU